UCGAGGAGCUCACAGUCUAG
rnacentral:ncRNA from 4 species